rfam:Ahrensia sp. LZD062 contig1, whole genome shotgun sequence.
CUAAUGUCGGCCCGCAAUGAUUCUGAAAACCCAGAUGUGUUUUUGGAUGAAAAGGGAAUGUGACGGGUGAACCCAAAUCGGGCACCUUUAUCACGGCCGACCCCGCGACUGUAGAAUGGUUAGCACACCGCGUCUUUAACAAGACACCACUGGAAUAGCCCGGGAAGGUAGAUGUGCCGGACAAACCAUGAGCCAGGAGACCUGCCUUUGCGAUUGAUCUGAU